AAUGAGCCUGUUUAACAAAAUAAUUUAGACAAACAGUAAAUAAUGUGAUCCCUGAAUUCAAAUAAAACUUGAUUAAAAAAUAUUAUAUACUAUCGUCACAUAAAUUAUCCAACGUUGAAUAAUGCGUACGUUAUUUCAUUAACACAAAAACUGUUUUCAAUAAGAUUGCUUUCGAAUACGGUUUUCGGUUUUGAACGGAAAUGUUUGAAGAACAAAAAAGGUCGGUUAACAGAAGAUGUUGUACUCAUCUCUGUCUGCCAAGCGGAAACUGUAUCUAAUGCAGAAUCAAACUUACGUCACUGGUAAAGAGUAAAAGUAAGUCGAAACAUUUUGUUUCGCAGAUUAUUGUAUUCGAUUGAAUAUUGAUUUUAUUAUCAACGACGGCUCCGUCCGUUAUCAACGCCAAAACUUAUGUUCAACGUAGAUAACAAACCGAUUGCAAGAGUACUUACGAGUAUGUUUCGGUGAUUUGAACUUUCCGACGGCGAAGUCCAAAGUCGAAAAGAAUACUAUGGGAAGUUUACAUGGACGCCGACGACCACCAAACGCGUGUAACACUGACACCAUAGACCUAUAACUAGUUUAUUAAUGAUUUGAUUGAAACGCACUUUUAUUUUUUCAACCAAUCUUGCAAGUUUGGUCGUUGAUAUGAAGACAAUUUGACCUACGGCGAAGAAUAUCGUAGAAAUCUAUUAUUUGAGAAGCUAAAUUACAAAGACAGGAAUUAUUUAAUCUAAAUCCACCAUGACAUUUCUUUAACAAGAAAUUGGAUUUGAUUGUUUUUAAUCAGCAAUAUAUAUAUGCAUAUAAUUUACUGUUUUGAAUUUUAUCUGAUUUCGAAGAGCUAUAACUUGUCUAAGUAUUUUGUCACUUAUUUGUAUGCAAAGCAUAGUCAGUAAAAUACAUGUUUACUUGAUUUGGUUUCAAGUUGACAUUUAAAAUAUUGUGUUCCAUUGUCAAAAGCGAAUCAUAUACAUGUUGGACUGUAGAUCGCUGAUAACCACUACGUAUAAGUCUCUUUAGUAACUGGUGUAAAUGUCUACACAAAAAAUUAUUUUAUUGAAAACGUUUAAAUAUUAAAAUAUAGGCUAAUGAAGCAAAUGA